GUCCAGGCGGUUGGCCCGGUGGAGGUCCUGGAGGAGACGGUCCCGGCGGUGGAGGACGGCUGGGGGAUCCGGCGGUGGAGGUCCGAAGGCGGCUCGUGAUUAGACCAACCAGCUCCUCAUCCAUGGAAGGAUUGAAGGAGUCACUGGGGAUGAAGAUCACUGCUCAGGGGCUGACGACCACUCAUCUUUCCGGAGAAGCGUCCUCAUGGUGCAGGCGGUCAAACCUCCACCUCUUUGAAGAGACCAAGCAGCUUGAUGACUGACUGGUUCUUUAUACUCAAGACCUCGUCCCGGAGAAGAGGACGGACCUAAGGCCCGCAGCGCAGCCGACUAGAGACUCCAUGUGGAACCGGUAAGAUACUGGAUUGACCAUCUUGAAGACAUUUUCAUUUAUUCAACAAGGUUCAAUUAAGUUGACCUCUCCUUCAGGCGACUUAAAGGGAGACCAGAUGUGCGGCAGCUGGGUGUCAUGGUGCAGAGACCCAACGCUGUACUGAACUACACCAGUGUGUCCUCCCAUAAACCCUGAGGAUCCCUGGAUGGCUACACCAGCACAUUAAUCCACACCCAACAUCAACACACAGUGCACACUCUAUAGAGCUCGUAAGUCCGCCCCUUGCGGCGGGACCUCGUGAGAUCGUAAGUUAUGACUGGGUUUCAAUGGAGAGAAAGUAAUUAUUUUCUCCAUUUUAUGUUGCACCACAUUUUGGGGGAAGAAUGUUUGAAUCAAUCUUUGUCAUUUAUUUCUGUACUCCAUAUCUGUAAUCCCAGCUGUUGUAUUUUAACACGGUAGCUGGGAACCCUCUUUAUAGGGAGCGACUAGAGGGACGAGGCUGGAAGCAAACCUGAGCCUGGAUCUUAACCUUCUUUCUAAACCUAAUGCCGCAAUUUAAACGCAAAUAAAGUGAGGCCUAAAGUAACUUGACUCUCUUACCUAAACUUGCUUGCCUAAACUCGCUUGUCUAAACUCGCCUGCAUAAAACCUAAACUCGCUUGCAUAAAACCUGAACUUGCUUGGCUAAACUCACGUCGCUUGCCUAAUACCUGAACUUGCUUGCCUAAACUCGCUUGCCUAAUACCUGAACUCGCUUGCCUAAACUCGCUUGCCUAAACUCGCUUGCCUAAACUCGCUUGCCUAAACUCGCUUGCCUAAAACCUAAACUCGCUUGCAUAAAACCUAAACUCGCUUAGCUUGACUCGCUUGCCUGUACUCGCUUGGCUAAACUCGCAUGCCUAAUACCUGAAGUCGCUUGCCUGAAGUCGCAUGCCUAAUACCUGAAGUCGCUUGCCUAAAACCUAAACUUGCUUGUCCAAACACGUUACACAAAGUUAACCAUCCAUAAUCUUUAACCCAAACCAGACUUGUCCCUGGGUCGCUCCACUUUAAUUUAGAAAUUUCUUCUUUUACCUCAUCUGCGUUUUGAGUUGUCCCGUGAGCUCCAGGCUCUCUGUGGGCCUGUCAACGUCUCUUUAGCAAAAGGUUGGAGAGUGAAAUUCAUUUUUGUGCCAUUUUCAUGUGUUCCUGAGUAUUUCAGACCUGUGGUGUUUCACAUGAGACCUUAAUGGGAACUUUUAUUUUUCUUCCUGCAUACGUAAUGCCUACAUUAGUAGGGUGAUCACUGUUGAUCCCAAUAUUGAUCAUUAACCACCUCAUUCUUUGGGAUUACAAAUCAUGUAAUUUAUGAGCAUAUUUGCAAAUGCCUCCAAAUAUCAGAUUGUGUAAAAACGAAUGAAAUGUAACCUGCUUGAUUUAAAGAAAAUAAAACAUCCAAAUAUUAUAAA